rnacentral:rRNA from 1 species
AUUGAACGCUGGCGGCAGGCCUAACACAUGCAAGUCGAGCGGCAGCGGGAGAAAGCUUGCUUUCUUGCCGGCGAGCGGCGGACGGGUGAGUAAGGUAUGGGGAUCUGGCCGAAGGCGGGGGAUAACCACUGGAAACGGUGGCUAAUACCGCAUAAUCUCUAAGGAGCAAAGUGGGGGACCUUCAGGCCUCACACCUUCGGAUGAACCCAUAUGAGAUUAGCUAGUAGGUGGGGUAAAGGCUCACCUAGGCGACGAUCUCUAGCUGGUCUGAGAGGAUGAUCAGCCACACUGGGACUGAGACACGGCCCAGACUCCUACGGGAGGCAGCAGUGGGGAAUAUUGCACAAUGGGCGCAAGCCUGAUGCAGCCAUGCCGCGUGUAUGAAGAAGGCCUUCGGGUUGUAAAGUAUUUUCAGUCGUGAGGAAGGUGUUAAGGUUAAUAGUCUUAGCAAUUGACGUUAGCGACAGAAGAAGCACCGGCUAACUCCGUGCCAGCCGCCGCGGUAA